GCAAACGCAAGGAAGAGGAAGAGUAAUCCGGCCCAACCUGCCCAGAGAGCCGCCGUUUUGGUGAAAGGCGGAGAGGCGGACGGACGAAAAUCACCUCGGAGCCUCCGGCUGAACGGGCCUGACCCCACUAAGCCGGUACGGGCGGCGCCGUUAUCCGCCGGCUUGAGCGGUCGCAGCAUGCCUGCGGCAAGAAGAGUGGUACCGCAGAGGUUUGCGCCUUUGUCUCUUUU
rnacentral:ncRNA from 1 species